UGAAUACGAGACGCUAAGGCGUUGAAGUAGUGUAUAUCAUACUUCCAAGAAAAGCUUGCACUGUCAUAGAUAAAAAACGCCUGUACCAUAACCGACACAGGUGGGUAGGUAGAGUAUACUAAGGGGCGCGAGAUAACUCUCUCUAAGGAACUCGGCAAAAUAGCUCCGUAACUUCGGGAGAAGGAGUGCCUUAUUUAUAAGGUUGCAAUAACAAGAUCCAAGCAACUGUUUAUCAAAAACACAGGUCUCCGCUAAGUCGUAAGACGAUGUAUGGGGGCUGACGCCUGCCCAGUGCCAGAAGGUUAAAGAAGUUGGUUAGCAAUAGCGAAGCUGAUAACUGAAGCCCUGGUGAACGGCGGCCGUAACGAUAACGGUCCUAAGGUAGCGAAAUUCCUUGUCGGGUAAGUUCCGACCCGCACGAAAGGCGUAAUGAUUUGGAUACUGUCUCGGAGAGGGGCUCGGUGAAAUAGACUUGUCUGUGAAGAUGCGGACUACCUGCACCAGGACAGAAAGACCCUAUGAAGCUUUACUGUAACUUGAAAUUGAAAUUGGACUUUAUUCGCGCAGUAUAGGUGGGAGGCGUUGAUUGUAAUCUUGCGGGAUUAUUGGAGCCAUCAGUGAGAUACCACCCUUGUAAUGUUAGAUUUCUAACUUUGAAUCAUUAUCUGGUCAAAGAACAGUUUCAGGCGGGCAGUUUGACUGGGGCGGUCGCCUCCUAAACGGUAACGGAGGCGUACAAAGGUUUCCUCUGAACGGUUAGAAAUCGUAUCUAGAGUGUAAAGGCAUAAGGAAGCUUGACUGUGAGACCUACAAGUCGAGCAGGGACGAAAGUCGGUCUUAGUGAUCUGACGGUACUGAGUGGAAAGGCCGUCACUCAACGGAUAAAAGUUACUCUAGGAUAACAGGCUGAUCUCCCCCAAGAGUUCACAUCGACGGGGAGGUUUGGCACCUCGAUGUCGGCUCAUCGCAUCCUGGGGCGGUAGUACGUCCCAAGGGUUGGGCUGUUCGCCCAUGAAAGCGGUACGCGAGCUGGGUUCAGAACGUCGUGAGACAGUUCGGUCCAUAUCCGGUGUAGGCGUUAGAAUAUUGAGAGGAGCCUUCUUUAGUACGAGAGGACCGAGAUGGACAUACCUCUGGUGUACCAGUUAUCGUGCCAACGGUAAACGCUGGGUAGCUAUGUAUGGAGUGGAUAACCGCUGAGAGCAUCUAAGUGGGAAGCCCACCUCAAGAUAAG
rnacentral:rRNA from 1 species